UUGUAGGUAUACAAUCCGAUGACAUUCAACUUGCACCUUUACAUGACGUAUCCUGGUUCUUUUGGCCAUUUGUCUUUUACUGCUAGACAUUUGUUAAAACUUAGGGAUGGGUGGAUGGGUGUGUGGAUGGAUGGAUGGGUGUGUGGAUGGAUGGGUGGAUGGGUGGGUGGAUGGGUGGGUGGAUAGAGGAUGCAUGAUGUGUGAUGGAUGGAUGGACAGGAUAGAUGGCUGGCUUGCACAGGCAGGAAACCAUUACACACAAACACACCCCCCCACACACAGACACACAGACACACACAGGAACCCCCCGGGGCUGAUUCAACCACACAGAAGUGAAAGAGAAGUGUUGUUCUCAAAAUAGAAAUGCUUACAAACUAGUUCUUCUUUUUCCCUUUCUUCAAGGAACUGAGUUGUUAAAGCAACUGAGAAGUCGGGCACAUGAGCCGAAGCUGAACUAUAAAUAAGAACAGCCAUCUCCCGUAACCCCAACAUAAGCUACCUCGGUUAGAUGUCGCAAGUUCUCUUUUUGUUUUGUGUGUUUUGAGACAAGGUUCUGCUACAUAGUUGAGCUUGGGUUUGAACUCACUAUGUAGCCUCAGCUGGCCUCAAACUCACAAGGAUCCUCCCGCCUCAGCCUCCUGAUGGCUGGGAUGACAGGCUGCACCACCACGCCUGCCCAACAAGAUGUAUUACACUUUGUUACAUAUGGGAAGGUACCAAGGAACCUCACUUGACCCGAGGAGCAGGGAAUACAGCCAGCUUUUAAAAAAAUAUUUAUUGGUAUUUUAAAAAAAUGUAUGAGUCCGUGUUUGCAGUGGGCUGAUGUUUACAUCUCUUGGGUGGAGUUGGGUCACGGACAGAACACACCUCAACUACUUUUUCAUUUCCUCCCCGGUCCCUCUAUCUCUUUGUCCUCUUCCCCUCUGAGAAAGAUCUCUCUACCUGGUUCCUAUCUGUCUUUUAUUUGGCUCUUUAUUUACACUUUGGGUUUCUUAUAUAAGCAAAACCAUGAGAUAUGGAAACUCAUGCGUCUGAUUUAUUUCCCUUAACAUCAUGAUCUUAAGGUGCAUCCAUUUUCCUACACACAACUGGAGUUCCCCGUUGGCUAUCGGAGGACUCUAUGUUUUAGAAGUUAGCAUUUCCAGGACUCUGUUCUCAUCUUCCAACCGAGGAAUCACUUUCAGUCUACGGUUUCUGUAAAUCCUGCAACAAUAUCGGUCUACAUUCUCAGGCAGGUAGGGCUAUCACAAAUACAUAUCAUAUAUAAUUAUUAUAACUCAUCGUAUUAUUACUGGAUUACCAUUGGUCAUCUGCUAAGUACCCAAGGAAAGACGAUGUGUUAUUAUUUUUAAUUAUAAGGCAUUGUAGAAAACCCAAGGAAAUGAUUGUUUUUGUUAUGCAGUCCUCAUAUCUGGCCACCUACCACGAUAAGGUCUUUGUACAAGAUACCUUGAUUCUAUUUCACCACAAUUACCCUGAGAUACAGGACCACGACAUCACCCCAGGUUGGCUGAGUGUGAAGGCCCGUUUCCUACCACCGACAGCCCUGUGAACACGCACACAUAAGAUAGGGAAGAAAUACUGCCAAAGAGAAAAGGAGAAUAUGAAGAAGCACACAGCAAGCGAUUAAUUUGGUUCAGACUUACAGGAGGCAUAGUGUAGAUGCUCAGUGCAGUGUGGAGCUCAGAACAUGUGGAUCUUAGAGACAGAGGAAAAUCCAGCAGCCCCCCUGCCCCCCGCAAAAAAAAUCCAGCACGCAGCUCUCCACGGAGCACGGCACGGGGCACAGGACCAGAAUCCUGCCAUGGUGACAACUGCUCUCCUCCCCGCCCCGUUUCCCAUUCCCGCUGGUUCUGAAUGCUUCCAAGAUCCCAAAACUGUGAUGGAGAAUUAGAGUCAUACGUGUGAAAGACUGGCUCCAUUCACAGGCAGAAGGAAGAAUCAAAGUCAACCUGGGCCUCAAAAAGUAUAGAUAGACAGACAGAUAGACAGAUAGAUAGAAUCAGUGCAGGAAUGGGUGGCUGGCUGGCUGAUGAAUGGAUGGAUAGAUGGAUUGACUGAUUGUUAAUAUGCUGGAAGGAUGGAUGGACGGACAGCUGGAUGGGUGGGUGGGUGGAUAAGUGGAUGAUUGUAUGCACAGAUGUGUAGCUGCAUGGGUGGCUGAAUGGAUGAACUAUGGAUGGAAGAAUGGACAGACAGAUGUUUGUGUGAAUUGAUGGGUCUAUGGGUGGCUGAAUGUGGGAUGGGUGGAUGGAUGAGCAAAUGUGUGCAUAAAUACAUGGUGGAUGCGUGGAUGGUGACAGCAUUUGCGUCUCUGUGACGGGCCACAUGCUUCUAAAGCAAUGAGAAUGCACAGAAUUUACAUUCAGGGCAAGCACUAAAGCCCUCUCUAUGUCAUGAAUUCUACUCCUAUUUCUUAGCAUGGUCUGGAGAUGUUAAACAUUGGUCUUCUUUUAAUCCUUUCUUUUAAUGUCACUCAUGGCAAGUGACAAAUACGAAGCAUGACGAAAUCUUGAACGUCAAGCACUGAAAGUCUUGAUACCGAAGGAGACACAAGGUGCCAUCAUUAAAGAGGUGAAAUUGCACAUUUUUGCUCCAAAGUCCCCCUCAGACGCUCCUUCCACUUAGCAGCUUUUAAACAACAGGGUGGGACAAUUCUAUGCAACUUGUCUCAGAACUCCCGAAGCCCAGACUGGAUGAGCUCCUCACCAAAGAAGGUGGCAUUUGUCUCCCAAACUGGCACUGGCCUUCAAAUUCACCUCCAGAGCAGGCCAUCUCCGUGGGAUAAAAAUCCUGCUACACUCACAUUCUCCACAGUUCUGCAACCUUCUGAACAAGUCACUGUCCUAUUUCUGCAAUGCAAUACCUGACAUCCUCAAGUUGGUUUGUCUGGGCUCAUGGUUUGGGAGUUCAGUCCAUGGUCGGCUGCUCCCAUGGUCUCAGAGGGUUCAGUCCAUGGUCGGCUGCUCCAAUGAUCUCAGAGGGUUCAGUCUAUGGUCGGCUGCUCCCAUGGUCUCAGAGGGUUCAGUCCAUGGUUGGCUGCUCCAGUGGUCUCAGAGGGUUCAGUCCAUGGUCAGCUGCUCCAAUGAUCUCAGAGGGUUCAGUCUAUGGUCAGCUGCUCCAAUGAUCUCAGAGGGUUCAGUCCAUGGUUGGCUGCUCCAAUGGUCUCAGAGGGUUCAGUCCAUGGUCAGCUGCUCCAAUGAUCUCAGAGGGUUCAGUCUAUGGUCAGCUGCUCCAAUGAUCUCAGGGGGUUCAGUCUAUGGUCGGCUGCUCCCAUGGUCUCAGAGGGUUCAGUCCAUGGUUGGCUGCUCCAAGGCAGGAGCAUCAUGGUGGACAGGAGUGGAGGAGGAAAGAUGCUCACAUCAUGGUAACCUGGAAGCAGAGAGAGAAGGGAGGAGCUGGGACAAGAACUCUCCCUUCCAGGUCACACCCCAGUGACCUCCUCCAGCCAGGCCCCACCUCCUACAGCUCAUUCACCAGGAGCUCAUCCAUGAUGGAUCCACUGACGAGCACAGCGCCCCAUGAUCCAGUCACCAGCAUUGAACAGGGGAGAACUUGGGGUCCAUCUCGG
rnacentral:lncRNA from 1 species